rnacentral:lncRNA from 1 species
AAUGCCUGGAAAAAUGGAUUACGCUAAUUUUUGGAGGAAUGGAGGUGUUAAGUGACUUGCCCAGGAUCACACAACUAUGGCUAGAGUACUAUCAGCAUGGGAGUCACCAAGCAACUCAUUUCCAAUCUUCAGCCAUGUAAUUAACAGCAAAGAUGAAUAGAUACAACAAGAAAAUUCAUUUGCACAGCACUGGUGGUUCUAUUGGUGUGUUAUCCAGGAUAGAUGUUCCAUAAUUUUAUUUUACCUUUCAUUUGAUAGCCUUAAUUGGGUGACCCUGAUAAAUUUAAGGAAGCAGGCAAACAGCCUUUGCUCAUCAGCUCUGUAAGACAGAUCAUUCAUUUCUUGAACUAUAGUCUAACCAAUUAUAUCUAAGUAAACUUCAGAUAAGAUUUCAGGAGCAAGAUAUAGCCUUUCUUAUUUCUCUGAUAUCACUUUCUUUUAACAUUGAUGUUACUUAGACUUUGAAAAAAAUUCACCUUUUAAUAAAAUGAAGUUUCUUGAU